GGCGCUGUGGUCUAGUCGUAUGAUUCUCGCUUCGGGUACAGUCACUUGCGAGAGGUCCGGGGUUCAAUUCCCCGCAGCGCCC